CAGAUCUAACUCUUCCAGCUCA
rnacentral:miRNA from 1 species